GGAGAGAUGGUGGCUCAGUUGGCAGAUCAUUUGCUUGGCAUGAAGAAGAUCCCAGGUUCAAUCCCUGGAAUUUCCA
rnacentral:tRNA from 1 species